rnacentral:rRNA from 2 species
GCUUUUGGAUGGACCCGCGGCGUAUUAGCUAGUUGGUGAGGUAACGGCUCACCAAGGCAAUGAUACGUAGCCGAACUGAGAGGUUGAUCGGCCACAUUGGGACUGAGACACGGCCCAAACUCCUACGGGAGGCAGCAGUAGGGAAUCUUCCACAAUGGACGCAAGUCUGAUGGAGCAACGCCGCGUGAGUGAAGAAGGCUUUCGGGUCGUAAAACUCUGUUGUUGGAGAAGAAUGGUCGGCAGAGUAACUGUUGUCGGCGUGACGGUAUCCAACCAGAAAGCCACGGCUAACUACGUGCCAGCAGCCGCGGUAAUACGUAGGUGGCAAGCGUUAUCCGGAUUUAUUGGGCGUAAAGCGAGCGCAGGCGGUUUUUUAAGUCUGAUGUGAAAGCCCUCGGCUUAACCGAGGAAGUGCAUCGGAAACUGGGAAACUUGAGUGCACAAGAGGACAGUGGAACUCCAUGUGUAGCGGUGAAAUGCGUAGAUAUAUGGAAGAACACCAGUGGCGAAGGCGGCUGUCUGGUCUGUAACUGACGCUGAGGCUCGAAAGCAUGGGUAGCGAACAUGAUUACAUACCCUGGUAGUCCAUGCCGUAAACGAUGAAUGCUAGGUGUUGGAGGGUUUCCGCCCUUCACUGCCGCAGCUAACGCAUUAAGCAUUCCGCCUGGGGAGUACGACCGCAAGUUGAAACUCAAAGGAAUUGACGGGUGCCCGCACAAGCGGUGGAGCAUGUGGUUUAAUUCUAAUCAACGCGAAGAACCUUACAAGU